AGUUGUUGUGGAGAUGAAAGAAGAUAACAUAAAAACAGAAAAAUGGUGAAGAGCACAGAUUCCACAGCCUAAUGUCCUGGGUUUAAAUUCCUACUCUACCAUUUACCAGUUUUAUGUUAUGAACAUCAGGUGGUAGCCACAACGAAGAAAUACAUUUUCUGGCAGCUGUGAAUGUUAUCCUUCCCUAAAGAAAUUAAACCAUCUCGGUAUUUUUCCAA